AUGAGGAAGGAUAAUACACUAAGAAAUCCCUCCAGAUGUCAAUAUCACAGUCAGUUUUCUACCCAUUCACUCCUUUUUCCAGUUUUACCCCCGGCACCAACCAACCCCAGCGCAGAACUACGCCUUUUUCCCCUCCUGGCCUUUCUCAGCCCCGAACCACGCGGCACAAGGCACGCCUUCACCACCCUGCCGCUACAUUUUCCCCCCUUCUACAAGCGGUCGGGGAGGGGAAGAGCGGCGCGGGGCCGUGCUGCGGGCACGCUGCGGGCACACCGCCCCGCACACCGCCUCACACACCGCCCCGGAGCGGCGCCCCGUGCCCCCCCCAUCCCCCUCAGCGCCCCGCGCGCAGACAAAGCCGUGAGGGGCCGGAGCGCGGCCCCCGCCUCACGCACCCGCGGGGCCGGGCCGCGGCCGCCAUCUCCUACCUGCUGUGACGGGAGGCGGCCCGGCGCGUCCCCCCGCUACAGGCCGCGUCUCAUUGUGCCGCCGCCGCCGCCAUUUGCCCGCCGCCGCCGCGCUGCCCCCGGCUGUCAGGUUCCUCCAUUCACCUGGGCCCCCGCGCGGCCGCCUCCCCCUGCCUGCCCCCCCCCCUUACGCCGCCGGCCCUACGCAAACGGNNNNNNNNNNNNNNNNNNNNGGGGGCCGCCCAACGCCCGCGACGCAAGCCCGCUCCGAGAAUUCCGCCCUGCGCAGCUCGCACGCUCCCCAUCGCCGCGCUGUGAAAGGAGCCGCGCGAUUGGCGGCGGGAGGCGGGUAAAAGGUGAAAGGUUCACCGACCGGCCAAUCCGCUCGCCGGACACGGCAGCUGCCGGGGAGCCGCCGGGUGGUCCCGGCGCUCACGUGUGUGCGCCCUCCCCUCCCCCGCCAGAGCGCCGCGAGGCUCUCGGCCCCGGCUGCCCGGCCCCCACGCUCCUGCCCUGCGCAUGCGCGCGGGCGGGGCUCGCGCGCGCGGGAGGUGGCGGGCGCAGCGCUGAGGCGAAGGGCGGCAGCCGCCAUCUUGGCGGGGUCGGAGGCCGGCGGGGUCGGAGGCCGGCGGGGUCGGGCUGUGUUGUUCGGGUCGUAGGGCGGGGAGGUGGUGAGGCCGCCUGCAGGGCACUGCUCUUUCCUCUGGGGCAGGAGUGGUCUUGA
rnacentral:lncRNA from 1 species